rnacentral:rRNA from 1 species
AGCGAACGCUGGCGGCAGGCCUAACACAUGCAAGUCGAACGAACUCUUCGGAGUUGGUGGCUGACGCGUGAGUAAAGCGUCGGAACGGUGCUUUUGGCUCGGGAUAACACAGGUAAACUUGGGCUAAUACCGAAUGUGCCCUGCGGGGGAAAGAUUUGUCGCCAUGAGAGCGGCCGGCGUCUGAUUGGCUUGUUGGGGAGGUAAGGGCUCACCAAGGCGACGAUCAGUAGCGGGGAUGAGAGGCUGACCAGCCACACUGCGACUGAGACACGGCCGAGACUCCUACGGGAGGCAGCAGAGGGGAAUCUUGCGAAAUGGGCGGAAGGCUGACGCAGCCAUGCCGCGUGAAUGAUGAAGGUCUUAGGAUUGUAAAAUUCUUUCACCGGGGACGAUAAUGACGGUACCCGGAGAAGAAGCCCCGGCUAACUUCGUG